rnacentral:rRNA from 1 species
UGGGGAAUAUUGGACAAUGGGCGAAAGCCUGAUCCAGCCAUGCCGCAUAUGUGAAGAAGAUCUUCAAAUUGUAAAGCACUUUAAAUUAAAAAAAAGAGCAGUUACCUAAUACGUGAUUGUUUUGACGUUACCGACAGAAUAAGCACCGGCUAACUCUGUGCCAGCAGCCGCGGUAAUACAGAGGGUGCAAGCGUUAAUCGGAAUUACUGGGCGUAAAGCGCGCGUAGGUGGUUAGUUAAGUUGGAUGUGAAAUCCCCGGGCUCAACCUGGGAACUGCAUUCAAAACUGACUGACUAGAGUAUGGUAGAGGGUGGUGGAAUUUCCUGUGUAGCGGUGAAAUGCGUAGGUAUAGGAAGGAACACCAGUGGCGAAGGCGACCACCUGGACUGAUACUGACACUGAGGUGCGAAAGCGUGGGGAGCAAACA